GUGGGGAAUAUUGGACAAUGGGCGCAAGCCUGAUCCAGCCAUGCCGCGUGAGUGAUGAAGGCCUUAGGGUUGUAAAGCUCUUUCACCGAUGAAGAUAAUGACGGUAGUCGGAGAAGAAGCCCCGGCUAACUUCGUGCCAGCAGCCGCGGUAAUACGAAGGGGGCUAGCGUUGUUCGGAAUUACUGGGCGUAAAGCGCACGUAGGCGGAUAUUUAAGUCAGGGGUGAAAUCCCGCAGCUCAACUGCGGAACUGCCUUUGAUACUGGGUAUCUUGAGUAUGGAAGAGGUAAGUGGAAUUCCGAGUGUAGAGGUGAAAUUCGUAGAUAUUCGGAGGAACACCAGUGGCGAAGGCGGCUUACUGGUCCAUUACUGACGCUGAGGUGCGAAAGCGUGGGGAGCAA
rnacentral:rRNA from 1 species